GACGAACGCUGGCGGCGUGCCUAAUACAUGCAAGUCGAGCGGACGGAUGGGAGCUUGCUCCCAGACCGUCAGCGGCGGACGGGUGAGUAACACGUGGGCAACCUGCCUGUAAGACUGGGAUAACUCCGGGAAACCGGGGCUAAUACCGGAUAACUCUUUCCCUCACAUGAGGGAAAGCUGAAAGAUGGCAUCUCGCUAUCACUUACAGAUGGGCCCGCGGCGCAUUAGCUAGUUGGUGAGGUAACGGCUCACCAAGGCGACGAUGCGUAGCCGACCUGAGAGGGUGAUCGGCCACACUGGGACUGAGACACGGCCCAGACUCCUACGGGAGGGAGCAGUAGGGAAUCUUCCGCAAUGGACGAAAGUCUGACGGAGCAACGCCGCGUGAGUGAUGAAGGUUUUCGGAUCGUAAAGCUCUGUUGUCAGGGAAGAACAAGUACCGGAGUAACUGCCGCUACCUUGACGGUACCUGACCAGAAAGCCACGGCUAACUACGUG
rnacentral:rRNA from 1 species